CCCACACCCACCUCCCCCACUGGUCUUUCGUUCGGCACGUUGCAAAAAUCCUGCCAGUGUUUCUUUUUGGAGCCGGCAGUCUACAAACAAGCGGCGCCGAGGGCGACGGACACUCGUCGUCUCCCGCUCGAGCUGAGGCAUGAAUUUCUACCUCCGGUGACCCUCACGUCUCGACCACGUCUCCAGCAGCUCUGCGCUCUCCUCUCGGUCCGGGGGGGGGUUUCCCCUCAAGAGUAUCAUGUCAGACAUUUGUAAUUCCAACUUGUAGUCACGCUGUCUGGUUCAGGCCCAUCGGGGCGGACGAUGUAUUUAUUUAUUGGCGGCAGCACUGAGCUUCUGCUGUCGAUACAACUGAGACGCUUCAAGCGAUCACUUAAGAGCACCUCUAUUAAUGGGUCACAUUUAAGAAACAAUUUAUAUAUUAAUUCUUCGUACCCCCCCCCCCCCCCCCGUCCCCAUUUGUGAACAAGUUACAUAUCCUCGUAUGAUGUUGUUGUUGGUGUAUGUGACUCGGAUGGUUUAGGUUGAGUGAAUGAAUCACACGGAGAACGAAAAGAGUGUAUUUAAAAAUAUGCUGCUUUGAAUAACUCACAUUUAGACUCCUAGAACAUUCUGCUCACGAAUAUCAGGGAUGACUUUUUUUUUUUUCUAAAUUCAGAACACAGGUGAUAGAGGAAUGAAAGACAACGACGGACCUCCCCUAGUUAAUAAUGGCUCUAAAACGUCUUUUUAUUAUAGUUUCUAAAAACCACCCUUUAGGCUGGCAAAGUAAACAAUGUUAGAGAUUUUUAAUGGCCGUUUCUUUUAAGAAAGGAAAAUAACUAAAUAGUUACAUUUAAGAGACAUAUGACUGAUUAUAAAAAUGCUAUAUAAAUCCAACCCGUCAGCUUAUUCUUCCUCAUUUUGCCUUUGUCCGGUAUCAGUGUGGUACUUGCAUAACAAAACCCACUAAAGACAAUCUGACAAAGCUAGUUAGUGCAUUCAUCAUCAUUCAAAUGCUAAUGCUAUUCUGAAGGAGGAAAUCUUAGACACGCACCCUAUUUGUUCUCAAUAUUCACAAAGCUCGCCAGGUGGGAAUGCCGUCCAGACCUAAAUGUCAAUUUUGCCUUAAAGUACAGAGAUCCAUGUGAAGGGCAGAAAAUCAUUAAAUGUCGGAUAAAUCCAAACAGUUGCCACACGGUUGCUCAACCCACAACAAUAAGUGUGUAGCAAGUGAAGAAGAACUCGUUCCUGGAGGACAUGAAGGUGCCCCUCCCUGCCUUUACGCACUCUCACAUCUGAUACGUUUGCUGCCAAGAGUGCUCCGCAUCUCACUGAUAACAGAUCUCAACGGGUUAAAGGCAUUUAAUCUGUGACAAGCAGUCUCGGCUUUUGUCAGCUAAGUUUGAGUUGACAGGUUUAUCAUGACAGCUUUUAAAGGAAGACGUACGGCAACAAACACAGCGCUUUCAUUCAGGAGACCGUUUGCCACACUGAAAUUAAAAUCAACAUUUUGCAACGUCCGCCAUUGGUCACGUGAGUCGGCCAAGGUAUCGUCCCUCGGGCUCGUUUCCUGGACCUGCCGACGCGUCUUUGUGAAGGUGCGUUGGGAGCAGGGCUUUGACGAAACGACGACGAUGCAGAUAUCACGAGUGAGCGUCCACACCAACUAAUUCGACCUGGUUUCACUCCCACAAAGCCUCGUCCCAAAGUAGUUUGACCAUUAGCGGCAGGUGUAAUGAUACAAAUGAAGAUCCGAUAAGGGGUAGAAGAGGACAUGCUGGUUGUGACUGGGGAGAGUAGACCGGGACAAAGUCACACACAUCUGUUUCCAGAUCUGCUUGGAGUAUUUCUGUCAUGUUUGUGGUCUUACAUUGUACCAUAUCCAUUUAUUUGUUUUGUGCCUUGUUGGAUUAGUUUGAUUGACUCGUUGAUGUAGAAAAAGAAGCCUCGCUAUGUUUCUGUGUGGUAGCAGAAAGUGGUGAGGCCUCUACAGCGCUGAACUACAGAUCAGUUCCCCAAUAUUUCUUUUCUUUCUUAGAUUUUUCAUUUUGUUUGAACUUAUAUCAAUGUAGUUGGUUUACCCAGUUAGGAUUAGGAAGACGGUUUUCUGGUAAAGCUCAUCAGCAGAAUAAUCUGUAGUGAUUGGGACAUUUCUUUUCACACAACUUUACGUGUUAUCCCUUUGUAACCUUUAGGAAACAGUUCAACUGCUUGUUUCAUGUGUGUUUGGGGCUUAGGAGGAGUAUUUUGUGCAAAAUUGAAUCUGUGUUUAAAAAGAAAGAGUAUACCACAUUGGUGUUCAUAUAAUCCACAACAACGACGCUUUUAGCAGGAAGCUUUGUCAUUUUAGCCGUUUCUAUCCAAAAAUGCAUUCUUGAACAAUAUUAGAGCAUAUUAUCUACGGCGGCCUGGACCUGAGACCUUCACUUUGUUCAGCUUUAGGUUCUGCUUCUCUACAUAAAGGCUAUUACGUACUGACUCGUCUCGCCACAAACAAAGGUAUAAUCUGAUUGAUGCAUAGUCUAUGAAUAUCAUGAGCAGUAACAGGUCUAAGCUGUGAACAAAAAAAAGAGAGAAAAACAACAUUGUCUCCCAUUUCGCUGUCUCUGCGAGAGCUGCAAACGGUCCGCGUGUCUGAUGCAUAGAGAGCAGAAUCCGAGUGAUUUCACGCAUUGGUCGGGAGGACGGUCGCCCUUAAGAGCUGUUGGUGUGCGGGUUGCUGUGUGGUCCGAGUGAGCAGAGCGGCACACUGAACGGUGCUUCUGGCCUCGAUGAAUCCAAUCCACCGUGCUGCAGUGUGGGGAAGAAAAGGCUCCAGGCAGGAAAUACGUCUGGGUGCCAAAAAGCAAAUGUAAUUAUUGCCGGUUGGUUUUCUGGGUGAAAACUAUUUUCUGUAUUUUUGUAUAAAUGUAAAGAAACAUAUAUGAGAUAUGAAUAAAGUACAUGUAUUCAACUGUUAUUUAUUUUAAUUUUGUAUUAUUUUUUGUUGUUCAGGACUGUUAAUCAAGCUUUUUGAGUGUGUCACCCUACAAGGUGGGCGGAAGGCUUUUACCAUUUAGAUUAACAUUUCAAUCACAGACCAACACAUGGAGACAACAAUGAAGCCUGGUCAGAUGUGCAGAUGAGGCCUCAGCAGUCUCUGCCCAGUGUUGUAGACUUAGGACCU
ensembl:lncRNA